rnacentral:rRNA from 1 species
UACGUAGGGAGCAAGCGUUGUCCGGAUUCAUUGGGCGUAAAGAGCUCGUAGGCGGCUUAGAAAGUCAGAUGUGAAAACUCCAGGCUCAACCUGGAGACGCCAUUUGAUACUUCUAUGGCUUGAGUUCGGUAGGGGACCAUGGAAUUCCUGGUGUAGCGGUGAAAUGCGCAGAUAUCAGGAGGAACACCGAUGGCGAAGGCAGUGGUCUGGGCCGAUACUGACGCUGAGGAGCGAAAGCGUGGGGAGCGAACAGGAUUAGAAACCCCAGUAGUCC